UGUUUCCCCCCGGGGGGGGAGAAAAAGCCCCGCAGACGGGGGGGGGCGCCCCCCCUAAAACCCCCCAAGAAAGUUGGGGAGGGGGGGAAAAAAAUUUUUUUUUUGCCUUUUUUAAAAAAAUUUUUUUAAAGGGGGGGGGAAAGGGGGGGGGGAUAACCCGGUUUGGAAUUUUUCCCCCCCAAGUUAGGGAUAAGCCCAUUGGGAAACGAAUAAUUAAAUCCCGGAUGUGGUUUUUUCGAAGUAAAGAAUUNAUGGUUUGGGAAGGAUCCUGCGUACUAUUAGGCUUGUUUGUGAGGUAAUGAUUAACUACCCCAAGGUUUGGACGUUAUGUGUUUGAGGAGGAUGAUCAGUUCCCAUGGAACUGAGCCACGGUUCAUACUCUUACGGGAGGCAGCAGUGAGGAAUCUUCACCAANGUCCAUGAGAGUUGAGAGCGACACGNCGUGAAGGAUGAAGGUCUAACGAUGUAAACUUUCUUUUCUGAGGGAGCAAAAUGAGAGUACCUCAGGAAUAAGGGACGGCUAAUUACGUGCCAGCAGCCGCGGUAAUACGUAAGUCCCAAGCGUUACCCGGAAUUAUUGGGUGUAAAGGGUCCGUAGGUGGACUUGCAAGUCAGGUAUGAAAGACCGGAGCUCAACUCCGAGUUUGUGCCCGAAACUGCAAGUCUAGAAUCAGGGAGAGGUUAGCGGAAUUCUUAGUGUAGGGGUGCAAUCCGUAGAUACUAAGAAGAACACCAAAAGCGAAGGCAGCUAACUGGAACUCGAUUGACACUGAGGGACGAAAGCGUGGGGAGCGAAGAGGAUUAGAUACCCUCGUAGUCCACGCCCUAAACGAUGAUAACUAAGUGUUGCAUGUAGAUGCAGUGCUGUAGCUAACGCGUUAAGUUAUCCACCUGAGGAGUACGGUCGCAAGAUUAAAACUCAAAGGAAUAGACGGGGACCCACACAAGCAGUGGAUCACGUGGUUUAAUUCGACAAUAAACGGGGAAUCUCACCCAGACUUGACAUCCUGAGAAUCUUUGAGAAAUCAGAGAGUGCCUUUACGGGAGCUCAGUGACAGGUGCUGCAUGGUUGUCGUCAGCUCGUGCCUUGAGGUGUUCGGUUAAGUCCGUUAACGAGCGCAACCCAUGUCCUUAGUUACUAUGUCUAAGGAGACUGCCUUGGUUAACAAGGAGGAAGGUGUGGAUGACGUCAAAUCAGCAUGGCUUUUACGUCUGGGGCUACACACAUGAUACAAUGGUAUGUACAAAGAGCAGCAAUAUCGCGAGAUGGAGCCAAUCUUCAAAGCAUAUCUCAGUCCGGAUUGGAGUCUGAAACUCGACUCCAUGAAGUUGGAAUUGCUAGUAAUCGUGAAUCAGAUACGUNCAUGGUAACUGCUCC
rnacentral:rRNA from 1 species